rnacentral:rRNA from 1 species
AGUGAACGCUGGCGGCAGGCCUAACACAUGCAAGUCGAGCGGCAGCGCGGGGGCAACCCUGGCGGCGCGCGGCGGACGGGUGAGGAAUUCGUCGGAAUCUGCCUUUUUGUGGGGGAUAACGUAGGGAAACUUACGCUAAUACCGCAUACGUCCUACUGGUGAAAGUGGGGGACCGCAAGGCCUCACGCAGAAAGAUGAGCCGACGACCGAUUAGCUAGUUGGUUGGGUAAAGGCCCACCAAGGCGACGAUCGGUAGCUGGUCUGAGAGGAUGAUCUGCCACACUGGGACUGAGACACGGCCCAGACUCCUACGGGAGGCAGCAGUGGGGAAUAUUGGACAAUGGGCGCAAGCAUGAUCCAGCCAUGCCGCGUGUGUGAAGAAGGCCUUCGGGUUGUAAAGCACUUUUGUCCGGAAAGAAAUCCCUGGAGCUAAUACCUUCGGGGGAUGACGGUACCGGAAGAAUAAGCACCGGCUAACUUCGUG